rnacentral:rRNA from 1 species
AGUUUGACUGGGGCGGUCUCCUCCUAAAGAGUAACGGAGGAGCACGAAGGUUGGCUAAUCCUGGUCGGACAUCAGGAGGUUAGUGCAAUGGCAUAAGCCAGCUUGACUGCGAGCGUGACGGCGCGAGCAGGUGCGAAAGCAGGUCAUAGUGAUCCGGUGGUUCUGAAUGGAAGGGCCAUCGCUCAACGGAUAAAAGGUACUCCGGGGAUAACAGGCUGAUACCGCCCAAGAGUUCAUAUCGACGGCGGUGUUUGGCACCUCGAUGUCGGCUCAUCACAUCCUGGGGCUGAAGUAGGUCCCAAGGGUAUGGCUGUUCGCCAUUUAAAGUGGUACGCGAGCUGGGUUUAGAACGUCGUGAGACAGUUCGGUCCCUAUCUGCCGUGGGCGCUGGAGAACUGAGGGGGGCUGCUCCUAGUACGAGAGGACCGGAGUGGACGCAUCACUGGUGUUCGGGUUGUCAUGCCAAUGGCACU